rnacentral:rRNA from 1 species
GCUCCAGACUCCUACGGGAGGCAGCAGUGGGGAAUAUUGCACAAUGGGGGAAACCCUGAUGCAGCGACGCCGCGUGAGUGAAGAAGUAUCUCGGUCUGUAAAGCUCUAUCAGCAGGGAAGAUAAUGACGGUACCUGACUAAGAAGCCCCGGCUAACUACGUGCCAGCAGCCGCGGUAAUACGUAGGGGGCAAGCGUUAUCCGGAUUUACUGGGUGUAAAGGGUGCGUAGGUGGCAUGGCAAGUCAGAAGUGAAAGCCCGGGGCUCAACCCCGCGGACUGCUUUUGAAACUGUCAGGCUGGAGUACAGGAGAGGUAAGCGGAAUUCCUAGUGUAGCGGUGAAAUGCGUAGAUAUUAGGAGGAACACCAGUGGCGAAGGCGGCUUACUGGACAGUAACUGACGUUGAGGCUCGAAAGCGUGGGGAGCAAACAGGAUUAGAUACCCGGGUACA